GGGGGAUAUUGCACAAUGGAGGAAACUCUGAUGCAGCAACGCCGCGUGAGGGAAGACGGUUUUCGGAUUGUAAACCUCUGUCCUUGGUGACGAAACAAAUGACGGUAGCCAAGGAGGAAGCUCCGGCUAACUACGUGCCAGCAGCCGCGGUAAUACGUAGGGAGCAAGCGUUGUCCGGAUUUACUGGGUGUAAAGGGUGCGUAGGCGGCUCUGCAAGUCAGGCGUGAAAUAUAUGGGCUUAACCCAUAGACUGCGUUUGAAACUGUGGAGCUUGAGUCCGAGAGAGGUGAGUGGAACUCCGAGUGUAGAGGUGAAAUUCGUAGAUAUUCGGAAGAACACCAGUGGCGAAGGCGGCUCACUGGCUCGGUACUGACGCUGAGGUGCGAAAGCGUGGGGAGCAAACA
rnacentral:rRNA from 1 species